AUCCUUUUUUGGUUCAUAAGCGUGAUGAUUGGGUUUUCAUGCUAUUUUGUGAGAUGUGCCUUCCUGUAAACCUUGUCAUGACAUCAACCCAUUACCCAUCUGAAG